rnacentral:rRNA from 1 species
GACGAACGCUGGCGGCGUGCCUAACACAUGCAAGUCGAACGGGACCAGGGGCAACUCUGGUUCAGUGGCGGACGGGUGCGUAACACGUGAGGAACAUGACCUUGGCGGGGGAGUAGCCGGCCCAACGGCCGGGUAAUACCGCGUACGACCAUUCGGGGACAUCCCUGGAUGGUGAAAGCAGCAAUGCGCCGAUGGAGUGCCUCGCGGCCUAUCAGCUAGUUGGUGAGGUAACGGCNCACCAAGGCGACGACGGGUAGCUGGUCUGAGAGGAUGGCCAGCCACAUUGGGACUGAGACACGGCCCAGACUCCUACGGGAGGCAGCAGUGGGGAAUAUUGCGCAAUGGACGAAAGUCUGACGCAGCGACGCCGCGUGUGGGAUGACGGUCUUCGGAUU